GUCAGCAAGUGUUCGUGGGAAGUAAGUGACUGGUACCCUUGCCCUCCAGAGACCAAGUGCCUUAUUUCUUCAACAUGACUUUCACCAUCCUGAAGUCUGGGUCUGCCCCAGCAUCUCAGAACAAGCAGGAGAGCCAGUCCCAGCAGUGCAGUGCCUCCAGCGAGGGAGGCACAAGGACUGGGAGAGCAGCCAGCGUGGACGAGGACAGCGGUGAUGGGUUCCUCCAUGCAUGCAGGAGUUGCCAACCCACUGCUUCAGCAUCCUAGAACUGCAGCAUGUGCCUGCCUUGCUGACUGCGUUCUUAUAGUUUUGAAUAAUUCUUAUUUCAGAGAAGAAGAAAAAAGGAAUAUUUUGUUUAAAUUGCUGAGUUGUUUCUUUAUUGUUGUCUUUGAAUUAAAAAGUCGAAAUAUACUGUAUGCCUUAUAGCUUCCUUCUAAGUUCCUC
rnacentral:lncRNA from 1 species